GCCAGGCGUGGUGGCGCGUGCCUGUAGUCCCAGCUACUCGGGACGCUGAGGCUGGAGGACCGCUUGAGCCCAGGAAUUCUGGGCUGUAGUGUGCUAUGCUGGUCGGGUGUCCGCACUAAGUUCGGCAUCAAUAUGGUGACCUCCCGGGAGCGGGGGACCAGCAGGUUGUCUAAGGAGGGGUGAACCGGCCCAGGUCGGAAAUGGAGCAGGUCAAAACUCCUGUGCUGAUCAGUAUUGGAUCACGCCUGUGAAAAGCCACUUCACUUCAGCCUGGGCAACACAGCAAGACCCCGUCUCU
rnacentral:SRP_RNA from 1 species